UUAAGCGACUAAGCGUACACGGUGGAUGCCCUGGCAGUCAGAGGCGAUGAAGGACGUGCUAAUCUGCGAUAAGCGUCGGUAAGGUGAUAUGAACCGUUAUAACCGGCGAUUUCCGAAUGGGGAAACCCAGUGUGUUUCGACACACUAUCAUUAACUGAAUCCAUAGGUUAAUGAGGCGAACCGGGGGAACUGAAACAUCUAAGUACCCCGAGGAAAAGAAAUCAACCGAGAUUCCCCCAGUAGCGGCGAGCGACGGGGAGCAGCCCAGAGCCUGAAUCAGUGUGUGUGUUAGUGGAAGCGUCUGGAAAGGCGCGCGAUACAGGGUGACAGCCCCGUACACAAAAAUGCACAUGCUGUGAGCUCGAUGAGUAGGGCGGGACACGUGGUAUCCUGUCUGAAUAUGGGGGGACCAUCCUCCAAGGCUAAAUACUCCUGACUGACCGAUAGUGAACCAGUACCGUGAGGGAAAGGCGAAAAGAACCCCGGCGAGGGGAGUGAAAAAGAACCUGAAACCGUGUACGUACAAGCAGUGGGAGCACGCUUAGGCGUGUGACUGCGUACCUUUUGUAUAAUGGGUCAGCGACUUAUAUUCUGUAGCAAGGUUAACCGAAUAGGGGAGCCGAAGGGAAACCGAGUCUUAACUGGGCGUUAAGUUGCAGGGUAUAGACCCGAAACCCGGUGAUCUAGCCAUGGGCAGGUUGAAGGUUGGGUAACACUAACUGGAGGACCGAACCGACUAAUGUUGAAAAAUUAGCGGAUGACUUGUGGCUGGGGGUGAAAGGCCAAUCAAACCGGGAGAUAGCUGGUUCUCCCCGAAAGCUAUUUAGGUAGCGCCUCGUGAAUUCAUCUCCGGGGGUAGAGCACUGUUUCGGCAAGGGGGUCAUCCCGACUUACCACCCGAUGCAAACUGCGAAUACCGGAGAAUGUUAUCACGGGAGACACACGGCGGGUGCUAACGUCCGUCGUGAAGAGGGAAACAACCCAGACCGCCAGCUAAGGUCCCAAAGUCAUGGUUAAGUGGGAAACGAUGUGGGAAGGCCCAGACAGCCAGGAUGUUGGCUUAGAAGCAGCCAUCAUUUAAAGAAAGCGUAAUAGCUCACUGGUCGAGUCGGCCUGCGCGGAAGAUGUAACGGGGCUAAACCAUGCACCGAAGCUGCGGCAGCGACGCUGAUGCGUUGUUGGGUAGGGGAGCGUUCUGUAAGCCUGCGAAGGUGUGCUGUGAGGCAUGCUGGAGGUAUCAGAAGUGCGAAUGCUGACAUAAGUAACGAUAAAGCGGGUGAAAAGCCCGCUCGCCGGAAGACCAAGGGUUCCUGUCCAACGUUAAUCGGGGCAGGGUGAGUCGACCCCUAAGGCGAGGCCGAAAGGCGUAGUCGAUGGGAAACAGGUUAAUAUUCCUGUACUUGGUGUUACUGCGAAGGGGGGACGGAGAAGGCUAUGUUGGCCGGGCGACGGUUGUCCCGGUUUAAGCGUGUAGGCUGGUUUUCCAGGCAAAUCCGGAAAAUCAAGGCUGAGGCGUGAUGACGAGGCACUACGGUGCUGAAGCAACAAAUGCCCUGCUUCCAGGAAAAGCCUCUAAGCAUCAGGUAACAUCAAAUCGUACCCCAAACCGACACAGGUGGUCAGGUAGAGAAUACCAAGGCGCUUGAGAGAACUCGGGUGAAGGAACUAGGCAAAAUGGUGCCGUAACUUCGGGAGAAGGCACGCUGAUAUGUAGGUGAAGUCCCUCGCGGAUGGAGCUGAAAUCAGUCGAAGAUACCAGCUGGCUGCAACUGUUUAUUAAAAACACAGCACUGUGCAAACACGAAAGUGGACGUAUACGGUGUGACGCCUGCCCGGUGCCGGAAGGUUAAUUGAUGGGGUUAGCCGCAAGGCGAAGCUCUUGAUCGAAGCCCCGGUAAACGGCGGCCGUAACUAUAACGGUCCUAAGGUAGCGAAAUUCCUUGUCGGGUAAGUUCCGACCUGCACGAAUGGCGUAAUGAUGGCCAGGCUGUCUCCCACCCGAGACUCAGUGAAAUUGAACUCGCUGUGAAGAUGCAGUGUACCCGCGGCAAGACGGAAAGACCCCGUGAACCUUUACUAUAGCUUGACACUGAACAUUGAGCCUUGAUGUGUAGGAUAGGUGGGAGGCUUAGAAGUGUGGACGCCAGUCUGCAUGGAGCCGACCUUGAAAUACCACCCUUUAAUGUUUGAUGUUCUAACGUUGACCCGUAAUCCGGGUUGCGGACAGUGUCUGGUGGGUAGUUUGACUGGGGCGGUCUCCUCCUAAAGAGUAACGGAGGAGCACGAAGGUUGGCUAAUCCUGGUCGGACAUCAGGAGGUUAGUGCAAUGGCAUAAGCCAGCUUGACUGCGAGCGUGACGGCGCGAGCAGGUGCGAAAGCAGGUCAUAGUGAUCCGGUGGUUCUGAAUGGAAGGGCCAUCGCUCAACGGAUAAAAGGUACUCCGGGGAUAACAGGCUGAUACCGCCCAAGAGUUCAUAUCGACGGCGGUGUUUGGCACCUCGAUGUCGGCUCAUCACAUCCUGGGGCUGAAGUAGGUCCCAAGGGUAUGGCUGUUCGCCAUUUAAAGUGGUACGCGAGCUGGGUUUAGAACGUCGUGAGACAGUUCGGUCCCUAUCUGCCGUGGGCGCUGGAGAACUGAGGGGGGCUGCUCCUAGUACGAGAGGACCGGAGUGGACGCAUCACUGGUGUUCGGGUUGUCAUGCCAAUGGCACUGCCCGGUAGCUAAAUGCGGAAGAGAUAAGUGCUGAAAGCAUCUAAGCACGAAACUUGCCCCGAGAUGAGUUCUCCCUGACCCUUUAAGGGUCCUGAAGGAACGUUGAAGACGACGACGUUGAUAGGCCGGGUGUGUAAGCGCAGCGAUGCGUUGAGCUAACCGGUACUAAUGAACCGUGAGGCUUAACCUU
rnacentral:rRNA from 1 species